rnacentral:rRNA from 1 species
GACGAACGCUGGCGGCGUGGAUUAGGCAUGCAAGUCGAACGGUAUCAUCCUUUCGGGGGUGAGAGAGUGGCGAACUGGUGAGUAACACGUAGGUUAUCUACCCUCAAGACGGGGACAACCCAGGGAAACUUGGGCUAAUACCGGAUGUGAGCAACUUUUAGUUGUUUGAAAGGUGGCGUAAGCUGUCGCUUGGGGAUGAGCCUGCGUCCUAUUAGUUAGUUGGUGAGGUAACGGCUCACCUAGGCAAUGAUAGGUAGGCGGCCUUAACGGGUGGUCGCCCACACUGGGAUUGAGAUACGGCCCAGACUCCGUACGGGAGGCAGCAGUCGAGAAUAGUCUACAAUGGUCGGAAGACUGAUAGUGCGACGCCGCGUGAACGAUGAAUCCCUUCGGGGUGUAAAGUUCUUUUAUAUGUGAGCAGUGCUUCUUAUAUUAACAGUAUGGGGAAGAGAUAUUAGCAUAUGAAUAAGCAACGGCUAACUCCGUGCCAGCAGCCGCGGUAA